CAUCCGGUCACUAUUUCAACUUAAACUUUAAACCUUGGAACUAAGUGUUCUAAUUCAUUCCUGAAACCUCACCGGACCCAAACUAAUCACCCCGGCAAGUCACACAACAACUGUAAAGCAUAAAUUGUACAGUAAAUGGGGGGAUUGGGCUACAACUCUCAAAAUAACUGGUCGGGUCGUUACAAUUAUGUCAUUUCGGACUUGUGUGUAAAAUUUGAGUCCAUUCCGAGUUUAUUUGAUAUGUUUCGGCACGAGUUUUAGAAGUUCAAAGUUCAAAGUUCAUUCAAGUUUGAAUUGAGGUGCGAUUCAUCAUUUCGAUGUUGUUAUGUUUGAUUUGAGACCUCGAGUAAGUCCGUGUUAUGUUACGGGACUUGUUGGUAUAUUCGAACAAGGUCCCGAAUGGCUCGGGUGAAUUUCGGACGAGGUUUGGAUUGAUUGAAGCCUUGUUGAAGCUGCUGAAAUUUUUGGGUUGCUUGUGCACCCACUUCUGCGGAAGCUUGGUCGUAGAAGCGACUCCGCAGAAGCGAGCAGCCCAUCCCAGAAGCGGACUGGGCAGCUAGGCGUGAAGGCCGCAGAAGCGGGAUUUGUUCAGCACCCGCGAUAUCGUAGAAGCGGAUGGCUAGGUCGCAGAAGCGCGAAGCGUCGCAGCAGCGGAAGCAGUGGUCGCACAUGCAUGUGCACAGAAACGGGUAUAUUUACGCAAGUGCGAUGGAUGAAUUUUAGUGGGUUUUCGCAGAAGCGCAUUUGUGGUCGCAAAAGUGAUGCCGCAGAAGCGGCCAUUUGCUUCGCAGGUGCGAACAUUGCUGGACAGAACCUAUAAUUUCGAGGGUUGGUCGUUUUAUCCUCAUUUUUUAGACUUGGAGCUCAGUUUUGGGCGACUUUGAGGAGGAAUUUUAUCACAAGGAUUAUGGUAAGUAUUUUAUACUCGGUUAUGAUUAUAUUUCGUGAUACCAUCUUCAUUUUUGUUAAUUGGAUUAGGAAUUUUAAAGAGAAAAUUGGGGGUUUUAGCCUAAAGUUUCAUAAAGUGAGUUUUGAGUUUUGAACAUCGAUUCAGAGUCGGAUUUGGGUGAAACUAGUAUGGUUGGACUCGUAAUUGAAUGGGUCGUCGGAUUUUAUAAGUUUCAUUGAGUUUCGAGGUGCAGUCCUGGGUUGGACUUUUGGGUUGAUUUUGGAUUUUUGAUUAAAGAUUCGACCUUUAUCGAUUGGCUUUGUUUCCUUUGGCACAAAUUGAUAUAUUUGAGUUGCUUUUGGCUAGUUUCAAGCCAUUGGGAGGUCGGUACGCGCAUGAUGGAAUUUUUGGGGCAUCGAUUGCCUUGCCCGGUAUUGGAUUUGGCUUAUUCAAGGUAAGUAACACUUCUAAACUUGGUGCUGAGGGUAUGAACCCCUGAAUAUACAUGAUAUGUAUUUGGUGUUGAGGUGGCGCACAUGCUAGGUGACAGGCGUGUGGGCGUGCACCGUGUGAAUUAUGACUCGAAUAUUUCUAUGGUACUGUGUAGUUACCUAAUCUUAUUUGUAUCUACGAAAUCUCUACGUGCUAGAGUAAUUGGGUUGUGAUCCAUGUUAGAAACCAUAUCUAGGCUAUAUGCUUAUCCUGUUGGGACCCACUGAAAUCAUUUCUGUUAUUGAGUUAUUUACUUACAUUACAAUUACAUAUUCGGUCAUACGCAUUCAUUUGCAUAUCAUAUCUCAGUCUCUGUUACCUUUUAUUGAUACAUCACAUCAUCAUGUUGGGCUGAUUUUUAUGAUAUUGUGAGCCCGAGAGACUGGAGAGAUUGAUGACUGAGAGAGGCCGAGGGCCUGAUGGUGAGGAUAUUGAUGGGAUCGGGCUGCACGUUGCAGUAGGUAUUAUUGAUUUAUCAUGAGAUCGGGUUGCACGCCGCAUUAUGUUUUAUUGAUUUAUGCCAUGAUUGGCUUGUUAUAGCACUUGGGAUGAAGGAGCCACUCCGGAAUCUGUACACCCCACUGAGCGUAGGUUCCUACUGAGUGCUAGUGCCAAGUGUGAGUGUGAAUGCCGAGAGCGAGUGUCGAGUGAAUAGGAGGAUUGAGUGACUAUGAGGGCUGAGUGACUGGGAGGACUAAGUGAAUUGAUACUCUGAGAGUAUGCAUAUGGUUUUAUCACUGAGUUGCAUUGCAUUCGAUAUGCACACUUGACAUACAGACAUAUAGAUGCAUUUUUCUAAUGUUGUACGAUAUUGCGUCACUCAUGACUUCAUAUACUUAUUGACAUGUAGGCAUUGCAUUUUCCUCAUGCCAUUUGAAAAUGAAACAUUUACAUGUUGAAAGUUAUUUUGGAAAAAAUCACAGUUUUACAAACGUACUCGUAUUUUAGUGUUUUCGGUAAAAGAUUAGGUUUUCACUGAUAUACUUGAAAAGUAUGCCUACUUUUCGUAACUGUGAACGAGUUGAACAUCAUAUCUCUGGGUUAUUUUUUAUUCGUUAUUUUAUUAUAUUGUUAUGAAUUGUUGCUGGUUAUUAGAAUUUGACUCGGACCCUUUUUCCAGCUCGUCACUAUUUUCAACCUAAGGUUAGGUUUGUUACUUAUUGAGUACAUGGGGUCGGUUAUACUCAUACUACACUUUUGCACCUUGCGUGCAGAUGUUGGAUGCUAAUGUUGCUUUGCACGGCGGGAGCUGGAUUGAAGAUGUACCUGCAUUCUGGUCAUAGCUGCCUCUUGAUCUUGGUAGCUUUAGAAUCGUAAUCUUUUUAUGUAUAUUUCAAACAGAUGAUGUACUUUAUUUCAUACCAGCUUUGUAAAUUCUAAAUCUUAGAAAAUCAUGAUUUGUACUACCAGUCAUUGGAAAAUUCUUGUAUAAAGCAGUUGUAUUUUCAUUUCUUUUCUUAAUAAAUCUUAUUUAAAUUGGAUAGUUGUUAAUUAGCUUACCUGACGGGUUGGGUUAGGUGCCAUCACGACUAGGUGAAUUUUGGGUCGUGACACUGUAACUUUGGUUCGAACUCAAUAUUUGUCUUAAAAAGUUCAUUGAAUAUGUAUAAAUUAUUAAUUUAGAACCCAGUAAUUUAAGACGGUUAAAAUUCUGAACCCAUAAACCUGAAAUCUUGGCUCCGCCUCAGCGCACAUAAGAUGAAAAUGCACCUGCUUCUCGUUUGGUUCAUUGGAGGCACUAUGAUGAGAUUGACCAUGUUCUUUUUCUUUAUCCUUUAUCCAUAUGUUUUUGUGAUGUACGUAUUGAUUUUACACUAAUUCACAAAUUGAUACUGUGCAUGCAUAAGGCAAACAAAGUAGAGCACUAAGCUGUAUAUGUACUUUAUAAAAUUUAACACAAUUGUUUUUACAUAUAAUUACCAAAAGAAGGCAUCAAACUUUUCGAUAGAGUAAAACAGUGGCCGACGUUCUUUACAAUCAACUAGAGGCGUUCAAACAACAUAAGCUUAAUCAUUCUUCUUGGAUGCUCUAACUCAUCAAAACAACACUUUAUUUCUUCAAGCUCUCUCUUGAUUCCCUCCAAUUAUGGACCAUGAACCAUGUUUAAAUUAAAUGAAAGUUAAAACUAAUUUCUUAUACUGCUGGAUGAUAAGAAUGAAAUUUAAGACUGGUAUUUGUAGACCAAAAAAAAAAUAGAAAUGAAGAGUCGCGUUUGUUUAUUUAGCCGUCCUAUUUGUAUAUUUAUACAAUUCAUUUAUGGACGUCAAAUAUGCUUCUUUAUUUAAUAAUUAAAAUUUUAUUAUACAUUAUGAUAGAAAGAAGUGAAUAUGAAAAGUUAUGAUGAAGAAUGUUGAAGUGUGUGAAUAUUAUACCAUUUCAUCGAAAGAAUUUAAGUUAUACAACAACUAUUACUACGUCUCAAUCCCAAACAAGUUGAGGCCGGCGAUAUGAAUCCUCAUUCCUUUCAUUAAACUCAACUCAUAUCAUCACUAUUAUCAAAAUAAAUAAAAGUGCAAGUAAAAAAAAAAUUAAUAAUAAUAAUAAUGAAAGUUCUCUCAAGUCUAAAACAUAUUCCCGUGUACCACCUAUAUCGAUCUUUUCAUUACAUUCUGCGUCGUUCUACUUUUCGUUAUUUCUGUUAAAAUCAGUUUGAGCCUAACUGUGUUUCUAGUUGUUAUUUUACAAUAAAUGUUUGUCUUUCAAGGAACCUUUAAUUUCAUCGUUAUUUUCAUGCUUUCUUUUGGUAAUUCCAUUCAGCGAUGACAGAAAGAUUCAAUAAAAUAAGAUGGUAUGCUUGUGUAUAAUUAAACAAGAUGUACUGCCGAAUGGUAAAAUCUAACAUCCUAAUUAGAAGCCAGUACUUCGUAUAUAUCAAGUGCGGCAGAAGAAGGCAGUAGUACGGUGGCUACAUGUUGCUCCUAAACGCACGCGUAAGUAUACGUGGUCGAUAAGUAAUAUAGGAUUGUAAGUCCAGAUAUCGUACUCACAGGGACUUGUGAUUAACUAUCAACUAAAUUAAACCAAAGAAUUCAUCUAUUCAAGCAAAUCCUAACGUAUGAAUAUUUAAUUAAAAUUAAACUAGAGUAACAAAUUAAGAGAUUAAAGAAAAUAACGACAAGCUUAAAGACGAAUUCAAUGUGAGUGAAUAUUCUAGAGUUAUGGGUUAGCUAACAAUCCCAUUGAAUUUUUCACUUAAAUCGUCUAAUUAAUUUAUCUGGUUUAUUGGUUGAUAGGGUUAAUAUUGCUCGUAACCUUCUCCCGAAGUACUACUCGCCUAUUCAAGCUAAUCUAACGUCUAUAUUCCUAUGGAAUUAGAAUUAACAAGAACGCAUUAAUAAUUUCUGUAUAGUAACCAAGCAAGACGAUUAGGUAUAUUCCUAUCCUAACCGCAAAUCCCCCCCCCCCCAGAGUUAAGAUAGUGCUCUAAUCAAUCUUAUAUGCAAUCUAGAAUUCCCUCUCCCGAGUUCAAUCCUAGAUUCGUAGAUAGUAUUCAAUUGGUGACCAAGUAAUCAAAUAAUUAAGCGCAAGAUUGAAUAAAUAAACCAAUAUGAUAAAAUAAUAAGAACAAUUCAAGCUUCAAAUUACAACGUUCAUGUAGCACCCAAAACUCUAGAACUAAUCAACUAUAAAAUUAAAGGAAGAGAAGAAAAGAAAAACUAAUUAGAAGCCUCCUCCAAGCGUGGUGUGUGUUCCCACACGUGAAUUCUCCUUCAAAGUAUGUUAGAUCCCAUCCAAAUUAGGUUUUGGACUCCUUAUAUACGAGUUGGAAUCGUGUAGGGUCGAAAUAACCUUGUCCCAAAUAAAGUAGGAAAAAUUCCGUCACGCAGGGUCCAGGCCGGCGCCUAGCGCUGGCCGUGGCGCUGGAGGCAGUGACGGAAUUUCCUUGUCUCAAUUCUUUGAAUUGUUUCACGGCUUUUUCAUGUCUUCAAAUUGGGGGUGUGGGGGGGGGGGGACAAACACCAAUAGGUGACCCCCUAUGUCUCUUUAUUUUAUUUUUUUUGUUUAAUUUCCUUUCUUUUUCUUCCGUGUUUUAUUCAAUAUUUUCUCCAAAUCUCGUUAUCUUCAUGUCGCUUUAUUCCUACACAGUUAAAAUAUAAUAUUAAGCACAAAGUAAUAUAAUUAACACUCAAAAGACGAUUAAAAAUACUAGAACAUGAGGCAACAAUGGAAAAAUAUAUGUAUUUUUGGCCGAACAUCAACACCCCACAAUUAGACUCUUGCUCGUCCUCGAGUAAGCAUUAAAAUCACUCUAAAUAAAUCAAGCCUCGGAACACCACCACUUCGGUUGAUACUAACAAUUAGGCUCUAUAGCAACUCAAAUCAUUAGAUAGACACUUCCUUAUCAUCGUGCAAGAUAUACAAGUCACAAACAAACAACAAACUUCUAACCUCCUAACCUCAGAGACGAACUCUAACUUACCAAAUUUAAGCUCGCUCACCUAUUCUGUCAAAUAAAGUUAAUAACAUCACCUAUCUAUCAUGAAACAAGUGCCCUCACAAGAAUAAAUAGCCCAUACAUUCAAAUCAAAGAAUGAAUAUAAUUUAAGGACUUAGCAACAAAGAACAACUCUCGCACUCACAAACGAAUUCACAUGUAUGCACACAGAACCAUAGGAUUGCCCAUUAUGUACAUCUCUACUAAUUAAGUAUGCUCGAAUAGAAUCAAAUAGGACUUUAACGGGUUAUAAUGUUGGCUAAUUGACGGGUAAGAGAACUAUAUAAUAGUGACUUACACUUCCCUAAGCACUUUGCGCUUUUAGACUUCAUCGCCCAUUAUUUUCUACUCUUCACUUUAUUUUUCAGCCCUCUCUUCAUCAAUUGUUUCACAUGUAUUUUUCUCAUAUCAAGAAUGCUUCAUUUUUUUUAAAGCAACUUUUUUCAUUCUUUUUUUUUCAUGUCACGUUCAUUUCAAGAAGGCCUUUUCAUCACCUUUCAGCCAUCAUUGGUCGUCAUUUUUCACUUAACCAUUCCAUUCUUCAAAUUUAUCAAUUAAUAUCACGGUCUAAGCAACAGUGCCCAAGGAAGCAAGGUGCAAAAACUAGGGAUUCAACAAAUGAAUCAAGGCAAAAAUACGACUUCCAAAUAAAAGGCUACAGGCUCAAAGGGCUGACUAAUGGUACAAUAUCUGAAAAGGCUAAAAUUCACAAGACAUAUCAAAGAAAACCUAUUAUCAUCUUCUAAACAUAGCAACACUUUUAUUUCGCUUCAAUAACAUGCAGGACAAGUUCUAGACUAAGAUUCAAAACAUGAAAUAUAUGUAAGAAAUCCUCACCCCACAUGGAACAAGUAUCAAUCAAGAUGGAUCAAUUUUACUCUAAGAUAGACAGGAUCAUAGCGAACAACAAAAUAAGAAUAAGCUAUAUACAGAGUCACAACCUUGAGCUUAGGUUCAGAAAGUCUGCUAUUUUAUUCAUUACUCAAGCACUAAGAGGAAAGUAUUACACAAACUCAGGCCUAAAUAUGCUAGUAUCAAACAAGUCACAAAAGUUUUUCUUCUCCCUCUUUUUCUAAUCCUAAAAAAAAUAUUCAAUCCUAAAAAUAAAAAAACUUACCCGGUUCAAGUUACAUCCCCUGGAAAAGAACCGAUACACAAAGAAAAACCAAGAGGAUUAUUACCUAACUAAAACUAACUAGAACAAAAAGAAUUUUUUUUUAUAUUUUUUUUAUUAGACCUUAAUCUCUCAAGAAACUACUACACUAAGAACGAGUACUACAACUAAGCUAAGAUAGCGCAGAAAAUCACCUAGACAAUCUCCUCACUCCACACUUAAAAUUGUGCAAUGUCCUCAAUGCACACUGAAAAUAACAAGAGGGUAAAAGAGACUCCCUGGUAGGCCAAAGGCCGAAGAAUUAGCAACUCACGGGAUACUCAGACUUCUCUCAUGUAUGAUCCCUUGUGCGGGUACCUCACACACAGUUUCAACCACCUGCUCGCUUUUUUCCAGGCCUAUUGGCUUUGACUCCAUGCUCCUACUCCUACAAAAUACAAAAACUGUACAAAAAGAUAACACAAAUUUAAAAUUAAAAAAAAAAAUUAGUUGCCUCCCAACAAGCGCUUGAUUUAACGUCGCAGUACGACUUACACCACUUCAUCACUUUUCCUUCUACUUUGAGGAUAUAAAUUGCACCCCCAAUUUUGCAUCAACUUUUCUGUCACAUUCUUGGGGCGGUGGUGUGAAAAUAAAGGAACCAAGAAAUAGGCAUCGCAUCUUGCACUUCUUGGCCUUUAAGUGAGGGAUGUCAUUUUGUCUCCUUGACAUUGUAAAUUUUAGAAUAUAUGCACUUUCUUCCCCAUCCAUUGACUUCUCCAUAUGCUCGAAUGGAUCAAUUCUCGUGUCACCAACCAAGCAUAAUGUUGAAAAAUGAUUAGAAUGAGGUCCAAUGUGCUCCAACUCUAGAAUAGCUUCACUUUUGACAUCCUCACUUUUACACACUUCGUCAACCUUGGCAUCAUCAACAAAGUUUGGUCGAAUAGUUGGAAUUCCUCUUUUUACUCCACAAGCUGGCCAGUAUCCACAACAAUUGGUUGUAGGGCAUCAGACGCCUAAACCUUUUUAUUCAAUUUAGCCUGUAGGUCAUGGAUAUCUGAGCCAAAUUGGUCCAUCUCUUGCUUGAGCUCAGUUCUUCCUUAUAUCAGUUGUUCUGUCAUAUUUGAAAGACCAUCACAAAGAAACUCAUGAGAUUUUAUCACUUGAGCUUGUUCUUCUAGCCAAGAUUGGCUCACUAUAUCUGCUUCUUCAAAAUUAUCUUCUGGUGGGAACUCGCUCUCUUUAGCCACUUCGUUCGCCUCGACCUUCAUUCUCAUAAUUGUUGAACUAAUUCUUUGUAUAGACUUUUGAAUUUCAUCUUGUUGCUCGGCUGCUUGCCUCAUCAUGUCCAAAAUACGGGCAGCACGUUCCUCAUCCUCCACUUCAUUGUUCCUAUCAAACUCAUAAACAUUAUUAGAAAUAUUAUAAUAAGAGCUCUAAGAAGGAUAAUAAGAAUUAGGACAACCAUCCCAAUGACCACCUUGACAACCACACACAUUACAAAAAUUUCACUCAUAAGAUUGAGAUUUAUAAUUUUGCCACAAGUGUGGUCCUCCACAAUAUGGACAUGGAUCACCAAAAUAAGAAUAACCAAUAUUCGACUAAUUCUCGUUCCAAGAUGUCAUGUGAACAAAGAUAAUAAAAUAUUAAACUAAGAUAAAAUAAAUAAAUAAAUAAAUAAAUAAAUAAAAAUUAAAUAGAUAAAAAGUAAAAUUCUAAUCUAGUAGAAUAGUUAAUUUCUAAGUCCCCGGCAACGGCGCCAAAAAUUUGUUGCUCCCAAACGUACACGCAAGUAUACGUGGUCAACAAGUAAUAUAUCUAUUGUAAGUCCAGAUAUCAUACACACACGGACUUGUGAUUAACUAUCAAUUAAAUUAAACCAAAGAAUUAAUUUAUUCAAACAAAUCCUAACGUAUGAAUAUUUAAUUAAAAUUAAUCUAGAGUAAUAAAUUAAGAGAUUAAAGAAAAUAACGACAAACUUAAAGACGAAUUCAAUGCGAGUGAAUAUUCUAGAGUUAUGGGUUAGCUAACAAUCCCAUUAAUUUUUCCACUUAAAUCGUCUAAUUAAUUUAUCUGGUUUAUUGGUUGACAAGGUUAAUAUUGCUCGUAGCCUUCUCCCGAAGUACUACUCGCCUAUUCAAGCUAAUCUAACGCCUGUAUUCAGAUGAAAUUAGAAUUAACAAGAACGCAUUAAUAAUUCAUGUAUAGUAACCAAGCAAGGCGAUUAGGUAUAUUCCUAUCCUAACCGCAAAAUUUGUCCCCCCACCCCCCCCCCCCGACCGACGUUACGAUCUUGCUCUAAUCAAUCUUAUACAANNNNNNNNNNNNNNNNNNNNNNNNNNNNNNNNNNNNNNNNNNNNNNNNNNNNNNNNNNNNNNNNNNNNNNNNNNNNNNNNNNNNNNNNNNNNNNNNNNNNNNNNNNNNNNNNNNNNNNNNNNNNNNNNNNNNNNNNNNNNNNNNNNNNNNNNNNNNNNNNNNNNNNNNNNNNNNNNNNNNNNNNNNNNNNNNNNNNNNNNNNNNNNNNNNNNNNNNNNNNNNNNNNNNNNNNNNNNNNNNNNNNNNNNNNNNNNNNNNNNNNNNNNNNNNNNNNNNNNNNNNNNNNNNNNNNNNNNNNNNNNNNNNNNNNNNNNNNNNNNNNNNNNNNNNNNNNNNNNNNNNNNNNNNNNNNNNNNNNNNNNNNNNNNNNNNNNNNNNNNNNNNNNNNNNNNNNNNNNNNNNNNNNNNNNNNNNNNNNNNNNNNNNNNNNNNNNNNNNNNNNNNNNNNNNNNNNNNNNNNNNNNNNNNNNNNNNNNNNNNNNNNNNNAAAAACUAAUUAGAAGCCUUCUCCAAGCGUGGUGUGUGUUCCCCCACGUGAAUUCUCCUUCAAAGUAUGUUAGAUCCCGUCCAAAUAAGAUUUAGGACUUCUUAUAUACGAGUUGGAGUCGUGUAGGGCCGAAAUAACUUUGUCCCAAACAAAGUAGGAAAAAUCCCGUCACGCAGGUCCAGGCCAGCACCUAGUGGUGGAGGCAGUGACGGAAUUUCCUUUUCUCAAUUCUUUGAAUUGUUUCACGGCUUUUUCUUGUUUUCAAAUUUGGGGGGGGGGGGGGACAAACACCAAUAGGUGCCCCCUAUGUCUCUUUAUUAUUUUUUUUGUUUAAUUUCCUUUUUUUCUUUCGUAUUUUAUUCAUGUUUUGCUCCAAAUCUCUUUAUUUUCAUACCGCUUUAUUCCUACAUAAUUAAAAUAUAAUAUUAAGUACAAAAUAAUAUAAUUAACACUCAAAACACGAUUAAAAAUACUAGAACAUGAGGCAACAAUGGAAAAAUAUAUGUAUUUUUGGCCGAACAUCACUACACUUUAAAUACCUCGUAAAAUGUGGCUACGUCUUAAAUAACAUAAUCAAAAGUGGCCAUUUGGUGCCAUUUCUACCCGUGAAGCCCAACUAAGAAACCCCAAACCCAUCAGCCCUUUACAGCAAACAAAGCCCAAAACUUGAGCCUCCCCCCACCCCCACCCCAAAUAAAAAUUAAAAAAACCUGCUAUUAAUUUAUUAAAAUUAUGUGUUUGGGUAAGUGGCGGAGUCACAUGCACCAAAGGGGGUAAGAAAAGACUACUCUCAUCCCUCUCCCGAGGUAGCUUUUUCGUUUUUCGUCCAGCUACUAUAGCUAAUAAGCUAUGCAUGAUGAUAUGUGAUGCAUGCUUUGACUUCUAAGGCUUGACAGGUCCUUUUGGUCGAUUUCCAGUUGAUUGACUCAACCUAUCGAUUGAGUGAGUUGGAGAAGAAAGUCUUAGAAGGUUAUGACUCUAUAAGUUUCGCGUCUUAUUUUUUUUUUCAUGUCAUACCCCUUCGUCGUAAAACUAAAUUGUUUAGUUUGAUAAUUGUUUUUAAAAAAAUAUAUAUAUUAUAUGAUGACAUUCCUUAAUUUCUUGGUAAAUUUAUUUCUUUAUAUUUUGAUUCUCCCGAUUCCACAAUGGUUUUGGGUGUGUAGUUGAGUAAGGACGGUAGGUUUUCUUCUCUGUUGCUUGAUUGUUGUAGGUUGGAAACAUAUUGAAUUGGUUCAAUUUGUGCUGUCUUGGCACAUUUUGUGGCCCCAUGCUGUAGUCCUUUUCCACUACAGUACUUUUCAGUAACUCAAAAGUCACUAUAGCUAGGAUCAUACCUUCCCCUAAAGAUCUCCCCAUUAUUUUGUUCCCUUGAAUUACUAUGCUAAUGUAUUAAAAGCUUUAUAGAUUCAAAUAUUUAUAUAAAAGAAUCCCUGUUAUACUUGCAGAACACUUGGAAUGGAAGAUAUACUAGUUCUAAAUAAGCAUACAAAAGUUAUUGAUCAAAUAUAAGUAAGUUUGACUCUGCUAAGUGGAGGUGAAUUCAGGAUUUAAAUAUAAGUUCGAUUUUUAUAUUUUUACCACUAAACUCAUUAUAAUCUUAAGAUUAUUGGGUCAAAAUAUAAAUUAUAAUAAUUUUUCACAUAUAAAAUUUAAAUAUCAAAGUUUCGUAUAAAAAAUAUUGGAUUCCGCAUCUACCACGGCCACCGCCACUCCUUUUAAGAGGAACUCAAUAAAGAGAUCAAAGUUUUUGGAGGUAAGAAGUCUAGUUGAUUGCUCUUUAUCUUAUAUAUAUAUAGAGUUUAUAGAAGUGUUUCGUCUUAGCUAGCUUAUACCAGAUCUAAUCCUUCAAUAAUUCAUUGAUAUGUAUGGUCAGAAACGCGAAAACCUUUUGUUAUUGUUUCCAUGCACAUUUAUGUUUGGCUUUUCUCGCUUUUAUUACUAGCAGUACAAGAUAAGACUAAGAAUCAACCACGUGCUUCACGUUUAUACUUUUUACCUUACCAGGCUACUUACCGAUUGUGUAUAAAUCAAGGUUGUAACCCUUCAAACCAAAAGCACUAAUCCCAGCAAUGGCUUCUUCUUCUUCUUCUACUCUACCUUUAUGCGCCAAUAAAACUCCCUCUUCUUCCUUCACCAACACCAACUCAUCUUUCUUUGCAAAACCCUCUCAGCUUUUCCUUCAUGGAAAACGUAACCAAAAUUUCAAGUUCUCAUGCAAUGCCAACAGUGACAAAAACAACCUUGAAGCUGUUGACAGGAGGAAUGUACUCUUGGGUUUAGGAGGGCUGUAUGGCGCAGCUAAUCUUGCGCCAUUAGCUACUGCUGCUCCUAUACCACCUCCUGAUCUCAAAUCUUGUAGCAAAGCCCAUAUAAAUGACAAAACGGAGGUUUCAUACAGUUGUUGUCCCCCUAUCCCAAGUGAUAUGGACAGCGUUCCAUAUUACAAGUUUCCUUCUAUGCCCAAACUCCGUAUUCGGCCCGCUGCUCAUGCUGCUGAUGAGGAGUACAUUGCUAAAUACCAGUUAGCCACUAGUCGAAUGAGGGAACUUGACAAAGACCCAUUUGACCCUCUUGGCUUCAAGCAACAAGCCAAUAUCCAUUGUGCUUAUUGCAACGGUGCUUACAAAAUUGGUGGCAAAGAGUUACAAGUCCAUUUCUCGUGGCUUUUUUUCCCUUUUCAUAGAUGGUACUUGUACUUCUAUGAAAGAAUCUUGGGCUCUUUAAUUAAUGAUCCUACUUUUGGUUUGCCAUAUUGGAACUGGGACCAUCCAAAGGGCAUGCGUAUACCUCCCAUGUUCGAUCGUGAAGGGUCUUCCCUUUACGACGAAAAACGUAACCAAAGUCACCGUAAUGGAACCAUAAUUGAUCUUGGUCAUUUCGGUCAAGAAGUCCAAACAACUCAACUGCAGCAGAUGACUAAUAACUUAACUAUAAUGUAUCGUCAAAUGAUAACUAAUGCUCCUUGCCCCUUGCUCUUCUUUGGUCAGCCUUACCCUCUAGGAACUGAUCCCAGUCCAGGGAUGGGCACUAUUGAAAACAUCCCUCAUACUCCUGUCCACAUUUGGGUUGGUAGUAGGCUUGAUGAGAAUAAUACGAAACACGGUGAGGAUAUGGGUAAUUUUUACUCGGCCGGUUUAGACCCGCUUUUCUAUUCCCAUCACGCCAAUGUGGACCGGAUGUGGUCCGAGUGGAAAGCCUUAGGAGGGAAAAGAAGGGAUCUCACGCACAAAGAUUGGUUGAACUCCGAGUUCUUUUUCUACGAUGAAAACCGCAACCCGUUCCGUGUGAAAGUCCGUGACUGUUUGGACAGUAAGAAAAUGGGCUUUGAUUACGCACCGAUGCCAACCCCAUGGCGCAAUUUUAAGCCAAUAAGAAAGAGCAAUGCAGGGAAGGUGAAUCUAAGUUCAGUUCCGCCAGCA
rnacentral:lncRNA from 1 species